GAAAGAGAGAGGGAGAGCGAAUACGAAUUCGAGAAAAAAGUCAAAAGCCAGGCUCUAAGCCCAUGCUAUUUUUACAGAUCAGCAGGGAUGUGGAAAAUUUACACACUUCCAACGUAUCGAUAUUUCAGAAGUCGUGACUGCCAAGUGGAGAGUUAUCGGCCUAUUGUAUCGAAUAAACCGGUAGAGAUAUCGGGAUGGCAAUCUGUUAAGGAAAUGUAAUUAUGAAUAAUGUAUUUUGAGUGAAAUUACUAUUAUAAUUUGGCAAUAAAUCGAUCUGUCUGGUUUAUUUAAAAUGA